UCUAAGGCUCCUGUAAUUGUUGAGCUUGCCCAGAUCCUUUCCUUGGAUAAACCAGCUUUGCAGGGAAUGAAGCUGUCACGGACAGCAGCUUCAUACAAGAUGAUCCAUGGUCUAGGGCGGACAUACUCUGAGAGGACCUUUUCCAACAUGAAGAGA